GAUGAAUAACGUAGCGAAAUGCGAUAAGUAAUGUGAAUUGCAGAAUUCAGUGAAUCAUCGAAUCUUUGAACGCACCUUGCGCUCUUUGGUAUUCCGAAGAGCAUGCCUGUUUGAGUGUCAUGAAACUCUCAACUCCCAACUUUCUUAAUAGUCGGUUGGGAGCUUGGACUUGAGCGUUGCUGGUCUUUAUUGACCGGCUCGCUUGAAAUGAAUUAGCAGAUCCUUUUUGUAAUCGGUUCCACUCGACGUGAUAAGUAUUUCGCCGAGGACAUCUUAACGGAUGGCCGAGAUAAAGAAAGUCUUUAGAUCCGCUUCUAAUUCUUAGAUAGAGCUUGCUCUACUAAACCCCUUUUAUGAUCUGGCCUCAAAUCAGGUAGGACUACCCGCUGAACUUAAGCAUAUCAAUAAGCGGAGGA
rnacentral:misc_RNA from 1 species